rnacentral:hammerhead_ribozyme from 1 species
AUCCAACUGACGAGUCCCGAAUAGGACGAAACGCGCGUCGAACUGGAU